rnacentral:lncRNA from 1 species
UCGACUCUAAUAGGAAAACUCACAUUAUCAAAAAUAAAUAAAUAAAUAAAAUUUAAAAACUUUAUUUUGUGCGACCCUUAAUAAUUCAGCAUUCAGAGUAUAAAAAACGACAAAGAACGGCGCGGCAGUCUCUCCCCCUCUAUAAUCCAAUUUUCUCCGACAAAAAGUCACGCGCUUCCAUAUUUCACCUAACCUGCAAAACAGCAGUGUGAAUAUAUGACUACUGUCUAUAAAACUUACUAGACUUUACUCGUAGUGAUCUAGUUAGAUAGAGAAAGAGAGCAACUUAGAAGAUGGAGCACUACCGGCGAUUAUACGGCGUCGCACUCGUCCUCUUCUUGCCGCUAAUUUCGAUCUCAAUCGUUGAUGCUCGGGAACUCCGGCCAUCGGAACACGGACUCACCUUCCAGAACACCUCCAGCUCCACGGCGGUGCAGGAGUCGCAGGGGAUGUU